rnacentral:rRNA from 1 species
GAUGAACGCUGGCGGCGUGCCUAAUACAUGCAAGUCGAGCGAACAGAUGAGGAGCUUGCUCCUCUGACGUUAGCGGCGGACGGGUGAGUAACACGUGGAUAACCUACCUAUAAGACUGGGAUAACUUCGGGAAACCGGAGCUAAUACCGGAUAAUAUAUUGAACCGCAUGGUUCAAUAGUGAAAGACGGUUUUGCUGUCACUUAUAGAUGGAUCCGCGCCGCAUUAGCUAGUUGGUAAGGUAACGGCUUACCAAGGCAACGAUGCGUAGCCGACCUGAGAGGGUGAUCGGCCACACUGGAACUGAGACACGGUCCAGACUCCUACGGGAGGCAGCAGUAGGGAAUCUUCCGCAAUGGGCGAAAGCCUGACGGAGCAACGCCGCGUGAGUGAUGAAGGUCUUCGGAUCGUAAAACUCUGUUAUUAGGAAAGAACAGAUGUAUAAGUAACUAUGCACGUCUUGACGGUACCUAAUCAGAAAGCCACGGCUAACUACGUG